rnacentral:rRNA from 1 species
AGCUCGUAGUUGAAUUUCGGGAUUGACACAUCGGUCGUGCCUUAAGGGGUAUGAACUGGUGUAGUCAAUUUCUCACCUUCUGGAGAACCGCGAUGCCCUUAAUUGGGUGUCACGGGGAACCAGGACCUUUACUUUGAAAAAAUUAGAGUGCUUAAAGCAGGCAUUUUGCUUGAAUACAUUAGCAUGGAAUAAUAAAAUAGGACGGCAUGAUUCUAUUUUGUUGGUUUCUAGGAUCACCGUAAUGAUUAAUAGGGAUAGUUGGGGGCAUUAGUAUUCAAUUGUCAGAGGUGAAAUUCUUGGAUUUAUUGAAGACUAACUACUGCGAAAGCAUUUGCCAAGGAUGUUUUCAUUAAUCAAGAACGAAAGUUAGGGGAUCGAAGACGAUCAGAUACCGUCGUAGUCUUAACCAUAAACUAUGCCGACUAGGAAUCAGACGAUGUUAAUUUUUUAAUGACUCGUUCGGCACCUUA